AAUGGUAAGAUAGAGGAGUACCGUGCAUGCCUGGGUUGUGGGAAACACUCGCCGACAUCCAGAUUGGUUGGUACUCUUGUUGGUGUUGCGCUGCAACGUUCCCUUUAAGCUAUGUCUGAGGCGUUCUCUGUGGUGAGGGAAACAACAAGGAGGAGACGUUGAUGUUCAGGGUAUACCAGAUUCGCUUUGUUAUGGUGGAGAUUUAAUGCUGCACCAUGCUGAGUACUGCCCUCCUUGCAACUUAGAAAAACGUUUGUUGGUUAUUUUGCAAUUUACAAAAUCUGUAUUAGCUUCCACUUGCUUGUAUAAAUUUGACUUUUACUACCUCCUAUCCGUUUUAAUCGGCACGGAUACCACGCACUACAUGCUUGCGAUCUUCACAACUCCGCGUCGAUUUAGUCAGAUCGAAGGGAGUAGUUUUGCAAUAUGCUUCAGUUUUUACAGUAUGCGGGUACCACCUAAAAUAUGUUUUUUUUGUUUUGUGUAUUCAGGCUUAACAAUAUUCAGUAGCAUGGUUAAUACUAUUUCCUGUUUUUUCAAGUUUUUUGUGUUCAUGCUUAGUAAUAUUCAGUAACAUGAGGCAUUAUUCACCAAGUCUACAUGCCAAAAAAUUACUGGGCUGUUAGAUGACAUGCUUCGUAAUAGUAGAACAAUCGGUGUGUGCAAUCCAUGGUUAACCAAAGCGUGCCUAGGUGCUAGGAAACAACAAAUUGCCUACCGCUUUCAUACAUUGUCAACUUACUUUUUCUUAGAGAAUGGUAGCUGCGGUACUUUAGUGUUCAAGUAGUAAGGGAAAUAAAUUGGCUGGCAAUUUUCCUUUCCUUUUCCCCCUCCAUUCUCCAUGUUGCACACAUUAGGGCAUACUUCAGUCCCGGACUCCUGGAUUUCAAAUAUUUAUUCACUGUUGCUUCUGUAUAAGGUUGUCAUGUUAGUUGAGCUAUCAGGUACUGCCAUCACAUGCAUAAUGAAGUUACUGCUAGCUAAGUUAGUUAUAGUACAGACACAACUGAAUAGUGAUACCAUCAAUCUCCCUAGACUGAGCUUUGUUGGCCACUCCCAACUUAUUCAUCAUAUCCAGCUUAACUUGAUUGAUUGUUGAUUUUAUGAUCCGAACCUUGACAAUACGUAGUAAGAGUUUCCUUGUGCCUCUACACUUCUCGAUUCACUCAGUGCAAAGAAUAUGCUAUCGUCUUUGAAGAGGAGAUGGGAAAUAGUUGGGUGUGCACAACUGUUACGAACUCCUUGUAGAACCCCCAUAGGCUCCUUGAGAAAUAGUACUUAGUAGCCGUCUCAUGCUGGUGAAAAUACAUGGACCACAAAGUCCAUCAUAGAUUUCUAGGUGCUUUCUUGUUCAUGAUGCCCGCGCUUCCGCUGCUACAUCUGUUCCAGAGAUUACAUUUUCCUCCAACCUACGACUAAUUAUAUCAUGUUGGGAGUAUCACAAAUUAGUGCGUGGUGUUUCUGAACCUGAAAGAUAAAUAUAUCUGGUUAGAUACCCUGCUUAUAUCCUAAAACUUGAUGGUAUGUUGUAGGUCCACAAAAAAGUCUGAUUAAACGAUGGCUCGAAAAAUCCUGUUUUGCUGAUAGUUUUUUCUCCAUAUGACUCUGAUAUGUGCUGGUGAUAUACAUUACGGACAGCUUCAUUUUUUAAGUCUAGAUCUAAAUAAACUAUCAAUGUUCCUCAUUUAACAUGUCUACGAGCUAAGCAACUUUAUAAAUUGUGUUGUGCUGAUAAUAUUUUAUUAGUCAUUAUGGAGGUAGCGUGGAGAACGGUUGUCUGUGCUCACCUGGAAUUGUAGCAUUGUUCUCAGCAUGUGUUAUAGGUACUGUGUCCCAUUACCUUCUUUGCAUCCAGUUGCAACAAAAGAAACGCAUCUGCUACGACUUUCUACCGGUUGACCAAUGAUCCGGAUGAGAAACACUAUUAUCCCUGUCUCAGUCAUUCCUAUGAAUCAAGAGAAGGGUUAUAUCUGAUUAAGUAUCACUACUAGAAAAGGAGGCAACAAGGGCAUGUUUCUAAAGUGGUUCAGGCAAGCAACAGAUCAAACAUUUGUUAUCAAGGUAACCUUUUUUGGAUGGUUAAUGGACUUGUUAAUUGCUAUUUAAAGUACUGGAUUUGUGCAUUGGUUUGCCUGAUUCUCAAAUUUUGUAGGUACAUGGUUAAACUAUUCUCAGUGAUGUAUCCCAUUUAAUGUGAUAACUAAGUUUUCAGGAUCUUAGUCUAAGCACCUCUGCGAUAUGACCAUAACAUCUGAUGUGUUGUCAGGUCCAUUUGGCUUAUUUUGCUUUGGUCACUGAUGUUGAAUUCAAUAAUGACCAAAGAGAAGUUCUUGCUAAAAAAAGGUGUACUAGAGGAGCUCUACAUGUGGAACUGUCUACCCCCACUGGGACCUCAAUUUACUCUUGGCCGCAAUUCAGUGUGGUACCCACGGACUGAGUUAUGUUUGUGUUUGGCGCUAAAAUUCGGACUUUUUACAUGUACACAUAUAUUACACAUAGUAAGCUAAGAUUCUCGAUCUAGGCUGCAAUGGUGGAUGCAUCCCAUUGCUUUUACCUAUUUCUUUCAAACCGCAUUAGCCACAAUUUCAAUAUUGUAACUUUGAUUUAUGAAAUUUUGGAGGUUGCUGACAUUUCUUAA